CACUGUUGCCUAAACCACAGAGCCUAGGGCUUGCCAAUCAGAAGGUCGGCGGUUCUAAUCCCUGUGCCGUCACCCAGGAAGGAAAGAGCCUCAAAAUCACGAAAAGGAAAGACCCGAUAAGUGGAACGGGCUCAACAAUUCGUGGGAAAUGAACAAAGCAAGGCGGCAGAGGACGCACCUGAAGGAGCGUCUCCACCCCCAUCGUUCAGCCCAGACACUGAGGUCCAGCUCUGAGGGCCUUCUGGCCGUUCCCUCCCUGCGAGAAGCGAGGUUGCAGGGAAGCAGGCAGAGGGCCUUCUCUGUGGUGGCGCCUGCCCUGUGGAACGCCCUCCCAUCAGAUGUCAAGGAGAUAAAGAACUAUCUGACUUUAAGAAGACAUCUGAAGGCAGCCCUGUUCAGGGAAGUUUUUUUGAUGUGUGCUCUUUUAUCGUGUUUUUAAUAUUCUGUUGGGAGCCACCCAGAUUGAAUGGCGAAACCCAGCCAGAUGAAUGGGGUAUAAAUAAAUUAUUAUUAUUAUUA